GGAAAUAUGUAUACAUUCUUUUACACAGACCACACAAACAUAUACUUACAGAACACACAUAGGAGGGAAAUUUUACAUUACACAUAGGAGGGAAAUUUUACAUGUAAUGUAACUGGAAAAUACUAGUACUGUACUCAUAUUCACCUUCACUGCAACACAUGCACACCACACACUCAAUGAAUGGAGAGAAGCAAAAAUCAGAGCGGAAAAAAUUUUAAAAUGGUAUAAAUCAGUAAAAUAAUAGACUGAAAAGUAGAGAAAAAGGGAGAAAAUCAGCGAGAUAGAGAGAGGAAAUAGUGAAAAAUAGGAAGAGUGAAGGAUGAUCUGAAUGAUGUGGAGUUUUUCGUUAAUUUUUUUGCUAGAAUACGCUAUUUCUUGUCAGAUUCAAACACCACCAAGCCAAAAUCCACCCAUCACCAAAAAACCAAGUGAACCAAAACAAAAUCCAACCCCGUCAAUGUUCAGACGACCCUCUUCUUUACCGAAAAAUGGAAAAAACUCACUGAAAAAUCAACUGAAACCGUCGAAAAAUCCGUCCAGCCCUGUUCCCCUCAAAAUCCACCGGAAAUCCAUUUAAAUCCACCGGAUUCGCCUCAAGAAGUGUCACUGGUCUCAUUUGUUAUUGUUUCGGCGACCCUACCGGCAAAACGAUGUCGUCGUCGUGUCGCUCCCUCUCCCUUUUCCCCUCCCCGCCGCUGUUUCCUUCUCCCUUCCCGACGCAACACUAGUACCGGCCUUCACCGGCGAGCAACACCCCCAAAACACACGCACCGCACGCACCCACACUGAUCUAUGCACACACCGCACCACAAAACCCAUCAGAGAAUGCACACUGAUGCGUAUAUACCCACCGCAUCAUUAACAAACACCAAAAUAGAGUGUGUACCGAUAUCAAAGAGACAUUUCAAUCUCAAUUUCCUUCAAUUUGUUCGAAUUGAUAUAGUUUGAGAUUCGAAGGUGCUUUAUUUAGUUCAAUUGAGUAAUUUGGCAAAUUAAAAUAUAAUUAGAGGUCCAUUUUCAUUCUCCAUCUCAAAUUUCAAUUUCCUGAUUUACGUAUAGAGUAAUUACGGUUGAAGUGUUGGUUUGAUUAAAUGAUUUGUUGUGGUUUAUUUAUGAUUUGUGUUUGAUAGAAUGAAUGUUUUCGAAAGAUAUUUGGGAGAAGAGGUUGUAGAAGCAUAACUUCUUAAUAUAAGCUGAGUUUUGUUCAAUUUUUUUCUCGAGUUUACAAGAGAGGAACCAACACCUUUAACGCUAGGCAAGUUUUAGACAUGUUUAAAAUAUUUAUC
rnacentral:lncRNA from 1 species